CAGUGUACUGAUAUGAAAACUGAAGCUCAGACAGAAGAGGCGACGUUGCUUUCUUAACCACUGGAUUUGCAGUGCUGUGGUUCUCAGAAGAGGCCAGGACAGGUUAAUCCACUCACUUGGGAGGCAGGCAGCCGGUGCAGAGCUGAGAAUUUACCCCAGGCUACCAGCCUUCCGGCUGAGAGAGCAAGCUGACGCACGGUUCCUCAGCUGUCCCAUGGAGCCUGUUGCGGCCAUCCACCUCCUUCAAAGGGUUGAAUGUACAGCUGGUAUAAAAAUGGUGCUUUGUCGUCAUGAAGAAGGUGUAUUCUGGGAUCAAACCACCUGGCUGGAGAUGCUUACUAACCUCAGUUUCUUCAUCUGACCUUACCUUUCUAAAAGAAUAAGAAGAAGAUGAUACAUAUUCCUCUAAAGUCCCAACAGGAACCUUUUCCCCUCACUCCCUCCCCAGAGAUGUGUAUCAUUUCCAUGAGUGUCUGUACUUUUACAACAUGUGCAUAUUAAUAAACAAAAUAUGACAAAUUA
ensembl:lncRNA LNCAROD lncRNA activating regulator of DKK1